UCAGUAAAGACAUGGAGCACUGGCAGAGGAACCUACUAGGGAUUCUAACUUUAUCUUUUGAAUGCAGAGGUGAAGACACUGUCACCCAGUCAAAAGGAGUUCUGACUGCUACUGAGGGAGAGACAGUUACACUUGACUGUAAUUUUGACACAACUAGUUCAAAUCCCUAUCUAUUCUGGUACAAGAUGGAGUUGAAGGACCUUCCGAGAUAUAUGUUAAGACGGGACAAGCACUCAAAUGGAGACAAUUUCAAAGCAUUUCCAAAAGAAAGAUUUGAUGCUCACCUUAAUGAAAGAUCAGUUCCUUUGAGGAUCCAGAGUGUGCAGCUGUCUGACUCUGCUAUCUACUACUGUGGUCUGAGGUCCACAACAGAGAAUCUGUCUCACAUCUCACUGAGCUGCUGCUUUGAAACAAGCAGUACUCAUGUUCUGCUUUUCUGGUUCAGACACUAUCUUAACAAAGCACAUCAGUUCAUACUGUAUAAAGGAGCCAGAUCCAAGAGUGGUACUGACCACAUCCCUAGUAAACAUUAUCAAUCCACAAUAUCCACAACACAUGAAAAACAAAAAACUUAUCAUAAAACAAGGGGCUCUGUCAGAUACAGCACUCAACUACUGCGCUCUUGA